UUUACGGUCUGGUAAUGGGAAUGAGUGUAAUUUAAAUCCCUAUGCGAGGAUCCACUGGAGGGCAAGUCUGGUGCCAGCAGCCGCGGUAAUUCCAGCUCCAGUAGCGUAUAUUAAAGUUGUUGCAGUUAAAAAGCUCGUAGUUGGAUUUCUGGCUGACCGCGNACGGUCCGGUGUCCUCAGGAUACUGUGCACUGUCGCGCGUUUGCCAUCCUUCCAGAGAGCUGUGCCUACCGUCUUGUACGGCANGGNGCUGCGAUCUGGAUCGUUUACUUUGAAAAAAUUAGAGUGUUCCAAGCAGGCUUACGCUUUGAAUACAUUAGCAUGGAAUAAUAAUAUAGGACUUCUGUUCUAUUUUGUUGGUUUCUAGGACCGAAGUAAUGAUUGAUAGGGAUAGUUGGGGGUGCUAGUAUUCAGCGGCCAGAGGUGAAAUUCUUGGAUUCGCUGAAGACUAACUACUGCGAAAGCAUUCACCAAGGAUGUCUUCUUUAAUCAAGAACGAAAGUUGGGGGAUCGAAGACGAUCAGAUACCGUCGUAGUCUCAACCAUAAACUAUACCGACUAAGGAUCAGUGGACGUCUAAUCUUCGACUUCAUUGGCACUUUAUGAGAAAUCAAAGUCUUUGGGUUCCGGGGGGAGUAUGGUCGCAAGGCUGAAACUUAAAGGAAUUGA
rnacentral:rRNA from 1 species